rnacentral:rRNA from 1 species
CUGUAGUGGGGGAUAACUAGUCGAAAGACUAGCUAAUACCGCAUACGACCUGAGGGUGAAAGUGGGGGACCGCAAGGCCUCAUGCUAUAGGAGCGGCCGAUGUCUGAUUAGCUAGUUGGUGGGGUAAAGGCCCACCAAGGCGACGAUCAGUAGCUGGUCUGAGAGGACGAUCAGCCACACUGGGACUGAGACACGGCCCAGACUCCUACGGGAGGCAGCAGUGGGGAAUUUUGGACAAUGGGGGCAACCCUGAUCCAGCAAUGCCGCGUGUGUGAAGAAGGCCUUCGGGUUGUAAAGCACUUUUGUCCGGAAAGAAAUCGCACUGGUUAAUACCUGGUGUGGAUGACGGUACCGGAAGAAUAAGGACCGGCUAACUACGUGCCAGCAGCCGCGGUAAUACGUAGGGUCCAAGCGUUAAUCGGAAUUACUGGGCGUAAAGCGUGCGCAGGCGGUUGUGCAAGACCGAUGUGAAAUCCCCGGGCUUAACCUGGGAAUUGCAUUGGUGACUGCACGGCUAGAGUGUGUCAGAGGGAGGUAGAAUUCCACGUGUAGCAGUGAAAUGCGUAGAGAUGUGGAGGAAUACCGAUGGCGAAGGCAGCCUCCUGGGAUAACACUGACGCUCAUGCACGAAAGCGUGGGGGAGCAAACAGGAUUAGAUACCCCUGGUAGUCCACGCCCUAAACGAUGUCAACUAGUUGUUGGGGAUUCAUUUCCUUAGUAACGUACUAACGCGUGAAGUUGACCGCCUGGGGAGUACGGUCGCAAGAUUAAAACUCAAAGGA